rnacentral:misc_RNA from 1 species
GCCAAAAUUGGAGAAAGAAAAAGCUUCAAGGACCAGCAUUCCACUCUAACACUUAUAAAUUAGAUAAAUCAAUUAAAAAGGAACUAUCAGAGUUACAAUUAGAAAAAAGAUCACAGAACACACAAAUUUAUAUUGGAAAGGCACGCCACAACUGCAAAUUUAUAUAUAUCGUGCACUAUAUAAUGAGGAUGAGGAGAACGAUGACCACUGCCAGUACAAAAAUUCCCAGUAGCCACCAACACCAUGAAGAUCUGGAUUUCACACUUUUUGAAGCUCUUGCUAACUGAACUUUUGCUUGGUUUGUUGCAGCAGCAGAAGAUUCAAUGUUG